GAUGAACGCUGGCGGCGUGCCUAAUACAUGCAAGUCGAGCGAACAGAUGAGGAGCUUGCUCCUCUGACGUUAGCAGCGGACGGGUGAGUAACACGUGGAUAACCCACCUAUAAGACUGGGAUAACUUCGGGAAACCGGAGCUAAUACCGGAUAAUAUAUUGAACCGCAUGGUUCAAUAGUGAAAGACGGUUUUGCUGUCACUUAUAGAUGGAUCCGCGCCGCAUUAGCUAGUUGGUAAGGUAACGGCUUACCAAGGCAACGAUGCGUAGCCGACCUGAGAGGGUGAUCGGCCACACUGGAACUGAGACACGGUCCAGACUCCUACGGGAGGCAGCAGUAGGGAAUCUUCCGCAAUGGGCGAAAGCCUGACGGAGCAACGCCGCGUGAGUGAUGAAGGUCUUCGGAUCGUAAAACUCUGUUAUUAGGGAAGAACAAAUGUGUAAGUAACUAUGCACGUCUUGACGGUACCUAAUCAGAAAGCCACGGCUAACUACGUG
rnacentral:rRNA from 1 species